rnacentral:rRNA from 1 species
GAUCCUGGCUCAGGAUGAACGCUGGCGGCGUGCUUAACACAUGCAAGUCGAACGAAGCACUUUACUUGAUCUUUUCGGAGUGAUUGUUUGUGACUGAGUGGCGGACGGGUGAGUAACGCGUGGGUAACCUGCCCCCAGACCGGGGGGAUAACAGUCGGAAACGACUGCUAAUACCGCAUAAGCGCACAGUGCCGCAUGGCACAGUGUGAAAAACUCCGGUGGUACAAGAUGGACCCGCGUCUGAUUAGCUGGUUGGUGAGGUAACGGCCCACCAAGGCAACGAUCAGUAGCCGGCCUGAGAGGGUGAACGGCCACAUUGGGACUGAGACACGGCCCAAACUCCUACGGGAGGCAGCAGUGGGGAAUAUUGCACAAUGGGCGCAAGCCUGAUGCAGCAACGCCGCGUGGAGGAAGAAGGUCUUCGGAUUGUAAACUCCUGUUGUUGAGGAAGAUAAUGACGGUACUCAACAAGGAAGUGACGGCUAACUACGUG